CUUGGACUCUACAGCCUCCAGAACUGUGGGAAAUAAAUCUCUACUAUUUACAAGCCACCCAGUUUAUGAUAUUUUGUUAUAGCAGGCCAAAACAGUGGUGAAGAUCAGGCACCCUGGAAUCGUCCAGAACUGGGUUCAAAUUCUGCCUGACUCUUGCCAGGAAGCAUGGUUAUGUCCCCUGAAGCCCUGGUCCACAUGAAGCUCUUCCUGCUUUUCUUCAGAGGAAGAUGCAGGAGCUGGUUAAUGGAAUGGAUUUUGCAUUCAGACAUCUCUUGGGGCUGCCUGUAGGUGGAUAUGUUCAUGGAAGACGGUGAAAAAGACAAGAAUAGGAUUUGCUGUAUAGAAUCACUAUAGUCACCAUCACACUGAGUAUCAACAACAUCUCUUGUUAUCCUCACAACUGUGCAAAACAGGUUGACUGAGCUCACUUGGGUGAUUCCUCUGCUCCACAUGCUGUUGACUGAGACUGAAAUAAUCUGAGGGCUUGAUAGGGCUGGAACAACCAAGAUGGCUCCCUCAUGAAGCCGGUAGUUGGUGCUGGCUUUCAGCCAGGAGUUUACCUAAGGCUACUGACCAGAGCAUCUCCAUUCUCUUCCACGUGGUUUCUCCAUGCAGCUUGAGUUUCUUACAAUAUGGUGUCUGAAUUCCAUGACGCAGGGAAUAGGAGUGGCCAGUUAUCUUACGGCUUGAGUUUGGAAGCUCAGAAUCUCACUUGUGUCACAUUCUCUUUGUCAAAGUUAGUCACAAAGCCAACCAAGAUUCAAGGGUUGGGAAAAUAUACCUCUCCUCUUUAUGUCAGGAGUGCCAAGUGCACGCAGGAUGGGGAGGGAUUACUGGGCACUAUCUCUGGACACUAGUUAAAGACAGUGUGAGGAGGUGGAAGAAAAGAGAGGGGGAGAGAUGGGCACUUUGUGACUGUUACUUUGAGCAUGUUACUUAACUUCUCUGAGUCUUAGUUUCCAAAAAUGAGAAAGAAGAAUAUCAUCUAUUUGUAAUCAUGAGAGUGAAAACACACACACACACACACGCACACACACACACAUACAUGUGUAUAUGUAUAUGGAUACACACAACUAUAAUCCAGUCUAUGUAAUCUAUCCUAUCUAUGCAGUCUAUCUAAUCUAUCUAUCUAAUCUAUGUAUCUAUGUAAUCUAGCUAAUCGAUGUGUCUAAUCUCAUCUAUGUAUCUAUCUAAUCUAUAUAUCUAUAGCUAAUCUAUAUAUCUAUGUAAUCUAUCACUGUGUAUUGCAAGCACGGUGGGGCAGAAACGGUUACCAUUACAAUUACUGGUGAUGUCACUUUCUAGCUGUGUGUUUCAGGGAAGUCACAUAGCCUCUAUUGCCUCAUCUGGAAAAUAGAAAGAAAUAAUAUCUCACAAACUUAUUGAGAAGAUUAAAUGAAGCAACGCAGGCAGAUGUUCUUUGUCACCUCUUGACCUUGUUCUAAAUAUCUUCUUCCUUUCUUGGGAUAUGGAAAUCAAAAGCAGAUAUAGGAUAUCCUAUUAAAUGUUUCUUUUUAUAAGGAUUCUUGGCUUAUAAUAGCAGGUCUUCUUUGAUUGAAGACCAUCAUUUUCUCAUUUCUUCUAUCAGAGUACAUAGAAGGCCCAUGCUAUUUGGAUUUUUGUGUUCAUUUUAGAAAUAAACGUAUACACAGACAUGGUAGCAGGAUUAGAAAAAUUAAAAUCUCACCAUCUGGUAUCAGCAUUCAGUCUGGAGAAGAAACUAUUACUUUCCAGUCUUCAGUCUUCUACAGGCAGAUUAUUUUCAGAAGGGUGUUUCCUUUGUGUUUGGGGGAUUGGGAGAUGGAAUACUGAAAUGACAAAAAAAAAAAAAGUCUUGUGUCUCAGAUUUGAGAUGAUGCUGGGACAGAUAUAAAGAAAACAGUCCAUCUGAGCAGAGAAAAAAGAUUCCUAGGAAAAGUAUAAAUUUUGAGAAUGAUGAGAAUCAGGUGAACUAGAGGUGAGGUUGGAAUUCAAGAUAAUGUCAUCCAGUUCUUUAGGGAGACAGAGUGGCCCUAGAUAAUUUCUGUUACUCUAGAAAAUGAGGCCAUUGUGAAUGAGCAGCCCAGGGAGAGACUUUAUCAGGGAAGCACAUUCUCUGUAUUUUUCCUUGUGUUUCCCACAUGCAAAAUCUUUCACUGAAAGAAACCCUCAGUAGAACAUUAAACAUUACAGUUAAACAUUACAGAUGGAACACACCCAUUUAUCUCCAUUCCUCCCCAGAGACUCCCAUUUAAAUGGCACAGAAGAGAUAAACCAGUAUGAAUAGAAUGAGAAACUAGGAUGAGAGGGGGAAUCUAGAAUAAGAGACAAGACAAUAUUGGACAAGAGAUGUCAACUGCGUUUUGAGCAGUAGUAUGUGGAUUGAUGAAUGGUAACCAAAGUAACCGAGUGAAGAAAACUGAAAUCUAAGGCCCCACUGAGGGGAGAUUAUAAACCAAAAUCAAGGGGAAUUGGGUCACAGAACCUCAGAAACUUUCAGCAGUUGGAGGCUUCAGGUACCUCAGAUAGCAUGAGCAAAGGAGGUGCUCGUGACAAGAGAGCUAGUUGAUAGAUAGACUCCCAGACACCCAAUCCCACCCUGUGAACCCAGGCAGGGAAGUGGAGGUGAAGAUUUGGAAAAAUUGAACCAGGGCAGGGUCUUUAUUCACAAAUAUCAGACAGUGGGUAAUAGGCAUGUGAGGUUCGACAAUGGGAAGAGUGAAUGAAAAUCAGUACACUGAAUGGUGUGGCUACCCAGCCCAUUUUCUCUGAGCUUCUGGAAUGCUGGAAGCCAGCAUUUAAACAUCUUGUAGAAAUGGGGACUUACUGUGUUGACCAAACUGAUCUUGAACUCCUGGGUUCAAAUAUUUUUUAAGAUUGUUGUAGAAAUGGGGUCUGGCUAUGUUGCCCAAAGUGAUCUUGAACUCCUGCCUCAGCUUCCAAAAGUGUUAAGAUUACAGGCUUGAGCCACUGUAUCUGGCUUAGAAGAAUUUUUCUGAAAGUAACAGAAAGGACCAAGAAAAAAGUAAAUAUGGAUACUGACAUUUGGGAUAAUCUUAACAGAAUGGCUUGGUCCAUAAAAUUCUUGAAUUGGUGAAUCCUAUCCAUAGAGCCUCUGAUUAGUGUGAGGUGUGUGUGUGUGUGUGUGUGUGUGAGAGAGAGAGAGAGACAGAGAGAGAGAUUUAUCUCACUCAACUAUUAAUACAAAAUAAAGAGUAAUCAGGUACUUAAGGAAAGCCUUCAACAUGGGGUGAGGAACAAACUAAAACAUACAAACAAUAUAACUAAUGCAACUUGUGAAAAGCAGACAAUACAGGCAGCAGAAGAAAACUUCAAAUAAAUGAUAAUUAAGAGCCUCACAGAGAUUAAAGAAGAUAUUCCAUCCAUGCCACAAGAGAAGGAUGCUACUUAAAAAAUGAACUGUAAGAGAAUAAGAAACAACUCUUGGAAAUUAAAAAUCAGAAAGGUAAGUCACUUAAAAGCAUAGUUGAAAAAGGAAAUUUGCAAGAAGGCAAAAACAUGAUUCAAAGAUUAAAAACAUAGAGCAGAUAUAAAAAAAGUAGAAGAACAAUUCAGAAGUUGUAUGUGGG
rnacentral:lncRNA from 1 species